AGUGGGUAAAGCAGCAGCGUCAGAAUGACGUCAGAGUAGAUCCCGACCAAGGGGCAACAUCCUGGUCUGAGCGAUGAGUUCUUCCGUUUUCCUCUAGGUGGUCCUGAGAGGCUAGACCUGUGGGUGAUCAACAUGAAGAGAUAGAACUGGAUUCUGAGUCUCUGCAGUCAACACUUGAGAGACAACACUUGAGCAUUGACAAAAGGGUGACUCAGACAGCCUGCACCAGUGGAUGUCCAACAUGAGGAGACAGAACAGGACUCCAACAAGACUGAACACUAAGUGUCAUCACCUAUGCACUGACUCCAGGGACGGACGAGCCUGAAGGACUCAGCUGUGCUGACGGUGUUCUGUCUCUUAUGGGGAAUUAGAAAAAUAAAACACUGG